rnacentral:rRNA from 1 species
GAGGGCCACGGUAGCAAUACGGUGGCGCUUCUAGUGGCGCACGGGUGAGUAAGACGUGAGUGACCUGCCCUGGAGCCCGGGAUACCCCUUCGAAAGGAGGGCUAAGACCGGAUACGUUCUCUUGGCUGCGAGGCUGAGAGAAGAAAGGCCGCCGCAAGGCGGACGCUCGAGGAGGGGCUCGGGGCCUAUCAGCUCGUUGGGGGGGUAACGGCCCACCAAGGCGAUGACGGGUAGCUGGUCUGAGAGGACGACCAGCCACACGGGGACUGAGACACGGCCCCGACUCCUACGGGAGGCAGCAGUGGGGAAUUUUCCGCAAUGGGCGCAAGCCUGACGGAGUGACGCCGCGUGGGGGACGAAGGCCUUCGGGUCGUAAACCCCUGUCAGAGGGAAAGAAGGUGGGGGCGGUGAACAGCCGUCCGCAUUGACGGUACCUUCAGAGGAAGCCCCGGCCAACUC